GCGUGUGUGAUGAAGGCCUUAGGGUCGUAAAGCACUUUCGCCAGGGAUGAUAAUGACAGUACCUGGUAAAGAAACCCCGGCUAACUCCGUGCCAGCAGCCGCGGUAAUACGGAGGGGGUUAGCGUUGUUCGGAAUUACUGGGCGUAAAGCGCGCGUAGGCGGACUAUUAAGUCAGGGGUGAAAUCCCGGGGCUCAACCCCGGAACUGCCUUUGAUACUGGUAGUCUUGAGUUCGAGAGAGGUGAGUGGAAUUCCGAGUGUAGAGGUGAAAUUCGUAGAUAUUCGGAGGAACACCAGUGGCGAAGGCGGCUCACUGGCUCGAUACUGACGCUGAGGUGCGAAAGUGUGGGGAGCAAACAGGAUUAGAUACCCUGGUAGUCCACACCGUAAACGAUGAAUGCCAGUCGUCGGGCAGUAUACUGUUCGGUGACACACCUAACGGAUUAAGCAUUCCGCCUGGGGAGUACGGUCGCAAGAUUAAAACUC
rnacentral:rRNA from 1 species